CAUUAAGAAGCUAUAUUCAGCGUUAACCUUUUAAGUUAAAGAUUGAGAGCACAACACUCUCCUUGAUGA
rnacentral:tRNA from 2 species